GAACGCGAAGAACCUUACCAGCUUUUGACAUGUCCGGUUUGAUCGACAGAGAUGUCUUUCUUCAGUUCGGCUGGCCGGAACACAGGUGCUGCAUGGCUGUCGUCAGCUCGUGUCGUGAGAUGUUGGGUUAAGUCCCGCAACGAGCGCAACCCUCGCCCCUAGUUGCCAUCAUUCAGUUGGGAACUCUAGGGGGACUGCCGGUGAUAAGCCGCGAGGAAGGUGGGGAUGACGUCAAGUCCUCAUGGCCCUUACAGGCUGGGCUACACACGUGCUACAAUGGCGGUGACAAUGGGAUGCGGAGGGGUGACCCCGAGCAAAUCUCAAUGAAGCCGUCUCAGUUCGGAUUGGAGUCUGCAACUCGACUCCAUGAAGUUGGAAUCGCUAGUAAUCGUGGAUCAGCAUGCCACGGUGAAUACGUUCCCGGGUCUUGUACACACC
rnacentral:rRNA from 1 species